GAUGAACGCUAGCGGCAGGCCUAAUACAUGCAAGUCGAACGGUGUCUUCGGACAUAGUGGCGCACGGGUGCGUAACACGUAUGCAACCUACCUUACAUUGGGGGAUAGCCUUUCGAAAGGGAGAUUAAUACCGCAUAAGACAGUAGCUGGGCAUCCAGCAGCUGUUAAAGAUUUAUCGAUGUAAGCUGGGCAUGCGUCCAAUUAGCUAGUUGGUGAGGUAACGGCUCACCAAGGCAAUGAUUGGUAGGGGAACUGAGAGGUCAAUCCCCCACCAGGGCACUGAGAUACGGGCCAGACUCCUACGGGAGGCAGCAGUAGGGAAUAUUGGGCAAUGGACGCAAGUCUGACCCAGCCAUGCCGCGUGCAGGAUGAAGGCGUUAUGCGUUGUAAACUGCUUUUAUACAGGAAGAAACGACUCUUGCGAGGGGCAUUGACGGUACUGUAUGAAUAAGCACCGGCUAACUCCGUGCCAGCAGCCGCCGCCGUAA
rnacentral:rRNA from 1 species